rnacentral:rRNA from 1 species
AUUGAACGCUAGCGGGAUGCUUUACACAUGCAAGUCGAACGAGAGGCGGACGGGUGAGUAAUAUAUCGGACCGUGCCCAGGAGCGGGGGCUAACUACUCGAAAGAGUGGCUAAUACAGCAUACUAUUGGAGCGGCAGAUAUCGGAUUAGCUAGUUGGUGGGGUAACGGUGCACCAAGGAAACGAUCCGUAGCUUGUUUGAGAGGACGAGCAGCCACAUUGGUACUGAGACACGGUCCAUACUCCUACUGUAGGCAGCAGUGGGGAAUUUUGGACAAGGGGGGCAACCCUGAUCCAGCCAUCCCGCGUGUAUGAGCAGUCCUUCGGGUUUUAAAGUACUUUUGGCAGAGAAGCGGUAUCUGCAGAAUAAGCACCGGCUAACUACGUGCCAGCCGCCGCGGUAAUAC